AGUGAACGCUGGCGGUAGGCCUAACACAUGCGAGUCGAACGGCAGCACAGUAAGAGCUUGCUCUUACGGGUGGCGAGUGGCGGACGGGUGAGGAAUACAUCGGAAUCUACUUUUUCGUGGGGGAUAACGUAGGGAAACUUACGCUAAUACCGCAUACGACCUACGGGUGAAAGCAGGGGAUCUUCGGACCUUGCGCGAUUGAAUGAGCCGAUGUCGGAUUAGCUAGUUGGCGGGGUAAAGGCCCACCAAGGCGACGAUCCGUAGCUGGUCUGAGAGGAUGAUCAGCCACACUGGAACUGAGACACGGUCCAGACUCCUACGGGAGGCAGCAGUGGGGAAUAUUGGACAAUGGGCGCAAGCCUGAUCCAGCCAUACCGCGUGGGUGAAGAAGGCCUUCGGGUUGUAAAGCCCUUUUGUUGGGAAAGAAAAGCAGAAGGUUAAUACCCCGCUGUUCUGACGGUACCCAAAGAAUAAGCACCGGCUAACUUCGUG
rnacentral:rRNA from 1 species